GACAGAGGGGGGCAAGCGUUGCUUGGAAUUACUGGGCGUAAAGGGCGCGUAGGCGGGAUGGCAAGUCGGUCGUGAAAUCCCUCGGCUCAACUGAGGAGCGUCGAUCGAAACUGCCGUUCUUGAGGGUUGCAGAGGAGACUGGAAUUCCCGGUGUAGCGGUGAAAUGUGUAGAGAUCGGGAGGAACACCGGUGGCGAAGGCGGGUCUCUGGGCAACUCCUGACGCUGAGGCGCGAAAGCGUGGGGAGCAAACGGG
rnacentral:rRNA from 1 species